GUGGGGAAUCUUCCGCAAUGGACGAAAGUCUGACGGAGCAACGCCGCGUGAGUGAAGAAGGUUUUCGGAUCGUAAAGCUCUUUCGUUAGGGACGAACGUGCUCUUUGUGAAUAAUGAGGAGUAAUGACGGUACCUAAAUAAGAAGCCACGGCUAACUACGUGCCAGCAGCCGCGGUAAUACGUAGGUGGCAAGCGUUGUCCGGAAUUAUUGGGCGUAACGCGCGCGCAGGCGGGAUAUCAAGUCUGUCUUAAAAGUGCGAGGCUCAACCUCGUGAGGGGACAGAAACUGGUAUUCUUGAGUGUCGGAGAGGAAAGUGGAAUUCCAAGUGUAGCGGUGAAAUGCGUAGAGAUUUGGAAGAACACCAGUGGCGAAGGCGACUUUCUGGACGAUGUCUGACGCUGAGGCGCGAAAGCUAGGGGAGCGAACGGGAUUAGAUACCCUUGUAGUCC
rnacentral:rRNA from 1 species